UGCUGAUUGUGCAUACAACACUUGCCCAUCGAGAUCAUUUUCAAAAGAUGAUUACUUCAGUGUGCCCAGGCCUGCAGGACAUAAGUACAUGGGCAGGAGUGGUUGUUUCCAAUAUUUGCCUCUUAAAACCAAACGGCAGAGAACAUCUUUCUGCAUGUCUCCAUGGGCGUUUAUAUGAGAUUCUUUCCUGAGAUAUAUCUGCUAGAAGUGGAGUCUGUGGAUCAUCAGAGGGAACUUCAAAUGCCCCACAGACUUGGAACAAACCCCAAACCUCGUCACCCAGCACACAAAUGCAACCAUUUCUGGAUUCAUUCCUCCCAGGACGGAAAGAAGUGUCUAAGAAAUGACAUCUUAAAGACAGACAGCAAACCAGAGCAGAUGCUUCAGGCUGCUCUCUUCCACAAGGUGCUUCAAGGACCCAGCCCCCUUCCAUCUUGUGGCUCACUUAUCCCCUGGGACCUCACAGUCUUCUGCCUCCAGCCAGUGGAAGGACAUGAAGAGCAUGGAGGAGACACACUCACUUCUUAAAAGCCUUAGCCUUCUCGCUAUUGCCUAGGAGAUCUCAACUAUAGGCCCACCGCUAACUAACAGGAACUAGGAAAUAACGUUUAUCUGUAUGCCUAGAAACAAAGAGGAACGUGACAACUACAUACAGCCAGUCUCUGCCACAUCAUAGGAGGGUCCCCCCAAAGCCUGUGGUUAGAGGAGAACCCUGUUGAUGUUG
ensembl:lncRNA